UCAAAAUGUAUUACAGUUUUUCUCAGUUGCUUUGGUACAUUUCUCAGAUCAGAAUUGAAAUUCUCAAAACUACGUGUUCAAUCUUCACAUCACUGUGCCACUUGUGCACAUCAGAAAAGCAGUUUCUCAUUUCUUUGAACAACUUGCAAAUGCUUUGGUACAGCCAUGCAAAUGAUUAUGUACAAUUUUCUGCUGUUUUCUACAUUAUCAAUUGCUUAUGUCAUGUUGAUCAAAAUGUACUAUAAUGGGUCUCUGUUGAAUAGUCUCACCCCCCACAACAUUUAGGCAUUAGUUCAUCGCACAAGUCUUUACAUGCAAAAUGGUUGAACACGCUGUCAUAAUAUGUCAAGCAUAUUUCUAUACAUUUCCAUUAGACGUUUCUGAAUCUGUCCUGAAUUGGUAAAUUGCUCCCAGGUGAAUCUUGACUUUCUCUAACGGUGGGAAAUGUGUGAAGCAUUAGAUCAACCAAUGAUCAACCACUUUUCUGAAACAGCUCAAAGGUGCAUCUCAUGAACCAUCAACUGGCAAGUAUAUAUUGCCAGGGCACAACACAAUGUUACAAUGUCUGACAAUGGAAGGACAAGGAAAUGGACAGGGUCAACAGCCAGAGAGAAGAAGAGGAAGAGGAGUGAGGCUGCGUGGCGGAGGAGUUGGGAGGCAAAACAGAGGAAGAGGCAGAAGAGGCAGAGGACAAAUGCACGUUCCUGAUGAGAUAAGAGCUACACUUGUAGACCACGUUCUCAAUCAUGGGCUUACAAUGGCUGAGGCUGGCCGAAGGGUGCAGCCAAAUGUUGGGAGAACAACUGUGUCCUCAAUCAUUCAGACUUUUCGUUGACAGAACAGGUUUGUAAUCUAACAAUAGGCACUGUACUGUAAUACUGUAUACUUUCUGUAAUGCUUCAUACAAUAUUGCAGUAUUCGACUUUCAUUUUACAAUAUACAGUAAGUAUAGUAUAUACAGUGACAUUUUGGAUGAGUGACAUUUUUUGGAUAAGAAUUUGUUGCCCAACAGACAGGAACAUCAGGAGGUGUAGGAAGACUGUACUGUAAUUCCUACAGCACUGCAUUUCCAGUUUUCCCUAAGGAAAUUGUCCUAUGUUCACAUUUCUACUUUUGUUUUUUUGUUUUUUUUAUUGUGCUCUGCAGUGCUGUCUUUUUCUUUUCUGUAUCGCAAUGACAUGGUCUGUCAUCAAAUUACAGUCUCUUGCAAUCAAUGCAAUCAAUCUCCCACAUACACUGAGGUGUAACUUACAAUUUACAAUGAUUGUCAUCAAAACUUUAGCCAUAGUUUACAUCAGAACAUCCCUCCAGAGUACACUGUUAUAUUGACAACAUGACUAAGCAAUUUGACUGUCUUAUCCGUACACAAUGACACAAGGACUUGUCAUUCUGAUGGCACUGACAUGUUCAUUGACACAGAUAUUUACUUUUGAGAGAUGUACUAAGGAUUUUGAGCAAGAGACUGGCUUUUGCAGCUAAUCCAUGGUGUUUUGCUGUUUGUACAAAUUGUUUUGAGAAAAGAACUAACUGUUUUGCAAAUGUCGAGGAUGAUUCGAGAAAUGUACCAAAGCGACUGAGAAAAACUGUAAAAUGGGUCUCUGUUGAAUAGUCUCACCCCCCUCAACAUUUAGGCAUUAGUUCAGUUCAUAAGUCUGUACAUGCAAAAUGGUUGAACAAGCUGUCAUAAUAUGUCAAGCAUAUUUCUAUACAUGUCCAUUAGAUGUUCCUGAAUCUGUCCUGAAUUGGUAAAUUGCUCCCAGGUGAAUCUUGACUUUCUCUAACGGUGGGAAAUGUGUGAAGUAUUAGAUCAACCAAUGAUCAACCACUUUUCUGAAAUAGCUCAAAGGUGCAUCUCAUGAACCAUCAACUGGCAAGUAUAUAUAUUGCCGGAGCACAACACAAUGUUACAAUGUCUGACAAUGGAAGGACAAGGAAUUGGACGGGGUCAACAGCCAGAGAGAAGAAGAGGAAGAGGAGUGAGGCUGCGUGGCGGAGGAUAUGGGAGGCAAAACAGAGGAAGAGGCAGAGGACAUAUGCGCGUUCCUGAUGAGAUAAGAGCUACACUUGUAGACCAAGUUCUCAAUCAUGGGCUUACAAUGGCUGAGGCUGGCCGAAGGGUGCAGCCAAAUGUUGGGAGAACAACUGUGUCCUCAAUCAUUCAGACUUUUCGUUGACAGAACAGGUAUGUAAUCUAACAAUAGGCACUGUAAUGUAAUACUGUAUACUUUCUG
rnacentral:lncRNA from 1 species